UACGUAGGGUGCAAGCGUUUGUCCGGAAUUAUUGGGCGUAAAGAGCUCGUAGGCGGUCUGUCGCGUCGGCUGUGAAAACUCGGGGCUCAACUCCGAGCUUGCAGUCGAUAUGGGCAGGCUAGAGUUCGGCAGGGGAGACUGGAAUUCCUGGUGUAGCGGUGAAAUGCGCAGAUAUCAGGAGGAACACCGGUGGCGAAGGCGGGUCUCUGGGCCGAUACUGACGCUGAGGAGCGAAAGCGUGGGGAGCGAACAGG
rnacentral:rRNA from 1 species